UACGUAGGCAGCAAGCGUUGUUCGGAGUUACUGGGCGUAAAGGGUGCGUAGGCGGCUUUUUAAGUUUGGUGUGAAAUCUCCCGGCUCAACUGGGAGGGUGCGCCGAAUACUGAGAGGCUAGAGUGUGGGAGAGGAAAGUGGAAUUCCUGGUGUAGCGGUGAAAUGCGUAGAUAUCAGGAGGAACACCGGUGGUGUAAACGGCUUUCUGGACCAUAACUGACGCUGAUGCACGAAAGCGUGGGUAGCAAACGGG
rnacentral:rRNA from 1 species